GUGUUUGAUUUAAGGAAAGAUGGUUGAUGUCUCCCCUAGACAGGGUUGGGAACAACCUUUUUGCUUCGGUUAAGGCUACCCACCUCUCACAGAGGGAUCACAAUAAUAUAAUUAU
rnacentral:ncRNA from 1 species